AUAAAUUUAAAUGAAUGCGCAGAAUUUCAAAAGAUGCAUUGACAGGAAUCGCUUUUGAAACAGAAGUCCAUCCAUUCACUUUUCUAUGGCUCGUUGCGUGGUCGGUUUCUGUGUCCGAAUCCUUGAAUUACAACUCGAAGUGCGUGAGUGUGUGGAUUCCAUCAUUCCCUUUCUGAUAGCGGAGCGUGACAUACUCCUCCAAAGUAGUCUCCUUGUAGAUUGGGAGAUUUUCCUCCGAUACCAAGUCUUUCAUCGGCCCAUACAACCUUGAUUCAAUUCCUUUCUGGACAUGUGUUCUGAAAAAAGCAACCCAAACAAACUCUAGGUCCUACUUUGUUCGCUAGUACCCGAUGAAAGACACUCUUGAACUUGUCAUUGGCGAUAAGCUGCAAAUGUAUAAGAAUCAGAUCAUCAGUUACUACUUGUGGUGGGUGUACAACAAAUUUCACAAAAUUCGCCAUGGACAAGUUGAUGCCAACAAUUUUAACUUGAAGGAUUUGCAUCUAAAAUUUUUGUGAUAUCGUGUUAAAAAUGAGUAUUUUCUUAUCUUUGCAUCUGACAUUCUAGUUUGAGACUAGACAACUAAUGCGUUCAACUUAUUUCCAAGUGUUCUUUGGUUGGCUCGUAACCCUCAUGCCAAAGAUGUCCUUGGGAGUUGUGAUGACAAAUCAAGAAAUCGAGAAAACAGAAACAAGUUCAGGGAAAAAAAAAAACAAGAACAUAAGUUGUUCCACUUUAAAGUCGCGAAGAUAUAUUGGUAGGGGCACAUUUGAAAAGAGAACAUAAGAGUCAACAAUAUCCAUAAAUAUUUUGCAUACAAACCCCUAGAAUACGAUCAAGGGCUUAACAAAAAACCGCAAUCCUAGGCAUCAAGUCAGAUAAAAUGUAGGGUGUUAAUCAGUCAGACUAUUGGUACCGGGUUAUGAGAACCAAGUAGAUGGAAUUUGAGAUAUUGUUGAAAACAUAGUUUCUACAAACAUCAACUGUUUCUUCCUCUUUUUUUUCCGGGGUAAGUAAAUGUAUCCAAACAGAUCAAAACAAAAUCGGUGUCACGGUGAGGGAGCCAAUGAAAGAUAACAAAGUGAUAGAGAUUUGCCUGUAGAUGAUCAGCAAUGUUUACUAUCAGUGCUCCAGCCAAGGGGGGGACGUCGAUCCUUUCAUUUUUGUGAAGAACUUGUAGACCACCAAUUUGAUCUUUUAACUGCUUUGGGAUCUUCACAACUUGAAAUAAGUGAGAGCAGAUUUUCCGUC